rnacentral:lncRNA from 1 species
GGAAGGAUACGAUAUGUGACAAACACCAUUUGUUCUGCCUCUCACUUGCUCAUCAGUCAACAUACCCAUCUUAGUUGCCAAUUGAAACAUAAUGAUGAAAAUAGGCAGCACCAAGAGGCAACAAACUUUUUGCCCGAUGUUCCCCCUCAUGCUUACCAUCUUACUAAUAAGCUCUCGUAAGUCAUAUGCACUCCAUGUUUGUUAAAAUGCCUAUCAAUUAUCUAACUAAAAAGAAAAAAACUAACAUGCCUAUGACGCAGAGGAGAAUUUGGGGACAAAUGCUCAAGUUGAGUCGUGUGUCCAUACUGGAUUGUAUUGCAUGGGAACAUGCUUGGUUCGAGGCGCAUGCAAUCGUUGUUGCAAGGAGAGCGGGUGUACUCAUGGGAAGUGUUCUAUUCUAGUAGGAUGCAAAUGCUACAAGUCUUAGAAUUUCUUGAUACACAAGAAAACAAAGUAAGACAAUAUGUAAUAAUGGGGCUAUAUGAAUGAAUGGAUCGGUGA